rnacentral:lncRNA from 1 species
GAUUGCUCUAUGGAUCUCAAGGAAGGUCACUUCUCCUUAAAGUGGCAGGCGAGGGAGUGGCUGAAGAAGAUCGGAUAGAGCCUGAGCUGGAGGAGGAUCUGCUCCUUUAAACCUCUUCGGCCUUGGAGCAGCAGAAGUCUGCCUCGGUUCAUCCUUCCUUUUCUUUGCUUCUACCAAUCUCUUUGGGUCAAACCUCAUUUUGCACAAGAAAGUUAAGUACUUGGAGAAAGUAAGAAAAUGCAAAGGAA